AACAACUGAUACUCAAGAACACAGACCUGACCAAUGAAAGAGUACAGCUAAGAAAUAAACUUCAGAUUUGUGUUGAAUGGACUUCCUAUCAAUCCAGUUUUUACUACAUGUCCAAAGAGAUGAAGAACUGGACUGAGAGCAGAAGAUAUUGUACAGAAAGAGGAGCAGAUCUGAUCAUCAUAAACAACAGAGAGGAACAAGAUUUUGUUCUCAACAUGACUGCUAAUGCUGCAUUUUAUAUUGGUCUGACUGACGUUGGUGUGGAGGGCACAUGGCAAUGGGUUGAUGGCACAUUCCCUAGUUUCAGGUCCUGGGCAUCUGCAGAGCCAAAUGGAGGAUCAAACGAGAACUGUGCUGUGAAUGUGUAUAAAACGCCAGAAUGGCCUACUUUAGUAGGAUGGGUUGAUAUUCACUGUAAUUAUGGUUAUCAAUGGAUCUGUGAGAAGAGGAUUUCACAGCUCAUGCUGCCAUAGUACAGUAAAUACAGUAAAUAGUUAGCCUUGAAAACUGUCGUUUAACCAAAAAAAUCAUAUAAGGAAUUUAAUAUGUAAGCAUAUGUAGGCAAUUUAAAUGUAUUAUAAUAUAAAGCUAACUUCUUUUUACCUAACCUCUUUAAGUAAGAAGGCAUAGCAUGUUUGCACAGCAGUAAUAAAAAAAGAAAACUUAUUAUACG